rnacentral:rRNA from 1 species
GAUGUUAGCGGCGGACGGGUGAGUAACACGUGGAUAACCUACCUAUAAGACUGGGAUAACUUCGGGAAACCGGAGCUAAUACCGGAUAAUAUUUUGAACCGCAUGGUUCAAAAGUGAAAGACGGUCUUGCUGUCACUUAUAGAUGGAUCCGCGCUGCAUUAGCUAGUUGGUAAGGUAACGGCUUACCAAGGCAACGAUGCAUAGCCGACCUGAGAGGGUGAUCGGCCACACUGGAACUGAGACACGGUCCAGACUCCUACGGGAGGCAGCAGUAGGGAAUCUUCCGCAAUGGGCGAAAGCCUGACGGAGCAACGCCGCGUGAGUGAUGAAGGUCUUCGGAUCGUAAAACUCUGUUAUUAGGGAAGAACAUAUGUGUAAGUAACUGUGCACAUCUUGACGGUACCUAAUCAGAAAGCCACGGCUAACUACGUGCCAGCAGCCGCGGUAAUACGUAGGUGGCAAGCGUUAUCCGGAAUUAUUGGGCGUAAAGCGCGCGUAGGCGGUUUUUUAAGUCUGAUGUGAAAGCCCACGGCUCAACCGUGGAGGGUCAUUGGAAACUGGAAAACUUGAGUGCAGAAAAGGAAAGUGGAAUUCCAUGUGUAGCGGUGAAAUGCGCAGAGAUAUGGAGGAACACCAGUGGCGAAAGCGACUUUCUGGUCUGUAACUGACGCUGAUGUGCGAAAGCGUGGGGAUCAAACAGGAUUAAAUACCCUG